CUGCAUUCACUGAUAGGCCUUAAAUUAAUGCUAUGGUUCUCUUGGUUUGCAGUAGGAUGCAAAAGAAAAAAGUCUCUGCACUUCUAUCUGUCUUUGUGGGUGCCCAGAUUGAGUAGGGAAAUAUAUUU
rnacentral:snoRNA from 1 species